UGGAUCGAUGAUGACUUUUAUACAUGCAUUCCUUGGAAAGCUGAACAAAAUGAGUGAAAACUCUAUACCGUCAUCUUCGUUGAACUGAGGUCCA
rnacentral:snoRNA from 1 species